AUGAACCACGGCAGACCCUCAGACGACCCUUCUAAGAUAAGGGGGGAGAUCCUCAGUAGUGGUGACCCUUUGACUCUUCCACUGACUUAUAUAUGUACCGAAUGCUCAUACGGGAAAGUGAACUCCUGGGUCUGAAACCUGGGGGGGUUGCUCCGAUAAAAAAUCCUUUCUUUCUCGUCCACUCUAGGGGGUGCGGACACACCUGCGUGGAUUACAGGUGACGGUUACAAGAAUGGCGGGGAAGUGAAGAGUAACCGACGACAUUCAAGGAUGAAUGUAGACCCAUCGGGCGGGGAUAAUCAUUCCGGUCCUAGGAGAGGUGGCGACACCAGUCUGAGCUCAGGGAAGCCAGCUAAUUGA
rnacentral:rRNA from 1 species